AUGGGGAGCGAGCCCAAGGAGAUGAAGUACAGGCGGAGGGCGAGGGCGCCCGAGCCGGGGGACUACGGGCAAUGCGGCGGGGGCGGCGGCGUGGUGGACUGGGCCGCGCUCAAGCAGCAGGACCCGGCGGAGCUGCUCAGGAAGCUGGACGAGAUACGGGACCAGAUCACCAGGUCCUGCGAGGCCGCGGGGCCGCGGCCGGCGGACCCGCCGCACCGCAUGGGCCGAGGCGCCGUCUCCAUGCGCCACUCGCACGCCGACCCCCUGCCACCCCCGCCGGGCCGUGGUGCGCCGCCGGAGUACUACCGCUCCUCGCGCCACGCCGGCCGGUACGGGCAAGGCGGGCCGCCGAGCUCGUACGACCAGCGGUCCGUGUGCGAUGACAGGUACGCGAGGCAGCCCAGCGGGAGGUUCCGGCAGCCGCGCCCGGAGGGGCAGUGGGAGGGCUAUGGCUACGGCGGCCACCACAGCUCGUGCCAGUGUGGGCAGUGCGUGCACGGCCAGCGGGCCAUGCCACCGCAGGAGGAGAGCAUUCCGAUGGCCAGGUUCUUCGCGGGGCAGCAGAGGCCGCCGUACCAGUUCGACAGGUCCGCCUCGUCGAUAUCGUCAGAGUACGACCGGAGAUCGGUGGCCUCGUCGCUCUACUCGCACCUUUCGAUGUCCAAGAGAAGGGUGGAGUACUUCAGCAAGAGGGCAGACAGCUUCUGCCGGCCGACGAAGGGCGGCGCGCCGUUCGUCGUGUGCAGCUCCUGUAACCAGCUUCUGCAGCUGCCUCCUGGGAAAUGCACAUCACCGAAGCAGAACCAGGUUCAGUGUGGCUCCUGCUCAGAGGUUGUUACUUUGAAGCUCAAGGGUGCGAAAGUUCACCCGGUGAUCCCAUCAUCGUCUUUCAGUGUACCGAAAAGCGUGAGAAGCUCCGAUCGUCGGGCUCCUCAAAGUUCUGGGUGGUAUCCAUAUGAGGAUGAUGACACUUCCAGUUUCGGUAGCUAUCGACAGAAACAGAAUUUUUCCGACAAUCUGUCGCAGUCUUCUAUUGGAAGCUAUGGCAGCAGCACAAGCAAAGAGCGGGGGCCAAACAAGAUCAGUCAGGUAAAACCUGUAUCCGUCAGCAAGUCUAGAUUUGCAGAUAGCCCAAAAGAUAUAUUAUGUCAAGGAGAUGCAGACAGUCAGGUCGAAGCUUCAGUUAUUCGCACAAUCAGUCCACAAGCCCCAGUUUUAGAGGAUAAACUUGUUGAUCCCUUUUCCAGCCAGCAAAAUGAUUGCAGUGGUGGGGAUCAAAUCAAGAGCAAGAGGUAUGGCUUAAAUAGCAAAGGAAACUUUGAUGUUAGAGGUGAGAGGAUUGAUGUGAAAUGUGAACAAAAGAGCAAUGAAAGUCGGAAGGAUGGAUUUAGUGGAGAAACUAUGAAGAAAACAUAUGGACAGAAAUAUCUCAAGCAACUUAAUGCUAGUUGUCAUGAUGGUCACAUGGGUAGCAAGAACACGCGGAAGGCCAAUAGUGAUGAUAGCAGGAGCAGCAGCCUUGAAGAUGAAGCUACAAGCAAAAAGUAUGAAGAAAAGAGCAGACAAGAUGACAACAACUUUGAGGCUCAAGGCGUUAAUAAGAGAUACGACAACUGCAACAAGGAAGGUUAUAACAAUGACUUUGGAUUUGAUAGCAUUACUAAGACAUGUGAAGAAGAGAGCGUACAAGAUGACUAUGCGAAAUCACUGUCCUCGAACUGUGAAAAUGCCAAGGGAGUAGCCAAAAAUGAGUCAUCAGUCAGUGAGCGAACAAAUACUAGCUCGCAUGUCUCUUCUGAUGCUGGGCUAGAUGAAAUUCAAUCUUCAGCUGGUAAGAGUGGGGAUUCAUCAUUUUUUGGUGGUUUCUUAAAGAAAGGUUUCAAAGAUCUUUCUUUAUUCAACCAGUCUAUGGACAGUGUCAAGGUUUCCAUCAAUGGUCAUCCAAUCUCUGAACGUGCUCUUCAUAAGGCGGAGAAAAAAGCUGGUCCUGUUAGCCCUGGUUCAUAUUGGUAUGACCAACGUGCUGGAUUUUGGGGUGUCAUGGGGCAUGAGUGCAGCGGCAUUAUUCCUCCAUUUAUAAAAGAAUUCAGUUAUUCAAUGCCCAAGAAUUGUGCCGGUGGGAACACUGGAGUGCUUGUAAAUGGCAGAGAACUUCAUCAGAAAGAUUUCGAUUUGCUUGUAAAGAGAGGCCUUCAACGUUUCUCUGAAAAAUCAUAUACCGUUGAUAUCUCAGGAAAUGUGAUUGAUGCUGCAACUGGAGACAAAUUACGCAGCCUUGGAAAGCUCGCUCCUACAAUCGAGAAGAUGAAACGCGGUUUUGGCAUGCACGUCCCUGAAGAGAUAAGUUAG
rnacentral:rRNA from 1 species